AGAGUUUGAUCCUGGCUCAGGAUGAACGCUAGCGGCAGGCUUAAUACAUGCAAGGCAGGGGGCAGCAAUGUCACCGUCGUACGGGUGCGUAACGCGUAUGCAACCUACCUUCAACUGGGGGAUAGCCCGGGGAAACCCGGAUUAAUACCGCAUAAUACAGGGGGCCCACAUGGGUCUAUUUGUUAAAGAUUUAUUGGUUGAAGAUGGGCAUGCGUUCGAUUAGCUAGUUGGUAUGGGUAACGGCCUACCAAGGCGACGAUCGAUAGGGGAGCUGAGAGGUUGAUCCCCCACACGGGCACUGAGAUACGGGCCCGACUCCUACGGGAGGCAGCAGUGGGGAAUAUUGGGCAAUGGAUGCAAGUCUGACCCAGCCAUGCCGCGUGCCGGAUGAAGGCCCUCAGGGUUGUAAACGGCUUUUAUUCGGGAAGAAGAGCAGGGAUGCGUCCUUGUGUGACGGUACCGAAUGAAUAAGCACCGGCUAACUCCGUG
rnacentral:rRNA from 1 species